rnacentral:rRNA from 2 species
AAAUUGAAGAGUUUGAUCAUGGCUCAGAUUGAACGCUGGCGGCAGGCCUAACACAUGCAAGUCGAACGGUAACAGGAAGCAGCUUGCUGCUUCGCUGACGAGUGGCGGACGGGUGAGUAAUGUCUGGGAAACUGCCUGAUGGAGGGGGAUAACUACUGGAAACGGUGGCUAAUACCGCAUAACGUCGCAAGACCAAAGAGGGGGACCUUCGGGCCUCUUGCCAUCAGAUGUGCCCAGAUGGGAUUAGCUUGUUGGUGAGGUAACGGCUCACCAAGGCGACGAUCCCUAGCUGGUCUGAGAGGAUGACCAGCCACACUGGAACUGAGACACGGUCCAGACUCCUACGGGAGGCAGCAGUGGGGAAUAUUGCACAAUGGGCGCAAGCCUGAUGCAGCCAUGCCGCGUGUAUGAAGAAGGCCUUCGGGUUGUAAAGUACUUUCAGCGGGGAGGAAGGUGUUGUGGUUAAUAACCACAGCAAUUGACGUUACCCGCAGAAGAA